rnacentral:lncRNA from 1 species
UUGCCUCUGUGGCUGUUGUCAAAGCAACAGAGAAGGAGCAGGAAGUAUUCAGGUAGUUAAAUAUAACACACACACUCCCUCUGGUAAUCUCCGGUCCUCACACACUGAACAGCCACUGCGCCACCUGACCAGCCUCAUACAGGUUACUGCAAUGACAUUUCUCCGCCACUUGGGGGCAGUGCUGGCUCUUUCUUGUCUUGUCUCCAUGGCCCAAACUGAGAAAACCACUCCGCAGGGCUCCAGCAGGCCCAUGACGAGAGCUCUGUUCCUCAGCUACAGCUCAGACGGAGAAUCCCUCACCACCGAGCAGCUCCGCAGCCUCCUCUCCAAUGAGUUCAGCCAGGUCCAGGCGCUGAAUGAUCAGCUGCUGGAGGAGUUCAUUGUGGCUUAUGAUGGAAAUGGAGAUCACAAGCUCGAUAUGAUGGAGUUUGCAGAUCUGGUCAAAUUCAUCACCAAAGACGGCCACUAGACAACACUGGAAAUAUGUUGAAGUUGUUCCAAAUGUCAGGUUAGGGUUAUGUUAAG